UGUAAUGGAAUAUUGUUUUCCUCAAAUAUGCAUCCGGUAUUGUGUUUAUGGGUUUAAAGUAGACACAGAAUUAUAUGGUGUAAAUGGCAUCAUAUUGAUCUGAGAAGGGCAGAGGCCUGAUCAACCGUAUGUUCCUUCGAAACCUGUUUUGUAGGUGGCUCUCAAGCUGAAUGCUAUACUUGGUUAUGGCAACCCUGUGUUAAAUAUUUAUCAAAUUUGUCAGUUUUUCUUGUAUUAGGAUUGCAAAAUUUGGACUGACUUGGAUUUUGGUGAAAUAUAGGAGGGGUAGAUGUAACAAGUGUGUAAAACUGUUUAUAUUUCACCUCAAAUCCAUCUUCAUUACCUGUGUAUAUUUGUUUUUCUUAGUUUUUGAAUUGUAUUUUAUUUUGGCGGAGAAGCUUUUAUUUUCUUGUUUCCUGUCUCCUUGUCAUAUCCUGUGUGUUCGCGCUGCCCUCCUCAGUUCGCGCCAAGCUGCGCUGGGGAGAGGUAAGCGUACAAAGUUGUCUUCUGUUUGUCUGUUGAAGUAUUCAAAAUGUCCUUAAAAGUAUUUUUGCCAAACUCGCAAGUUUUUAUAUGUUGUUCCCCAACUGUUUUAUGUUUAGUGCAGCACUGUACUGGGCACUUAAUUCCCACGUUAAGGACAUUUAUUGAGUUUACCGUGCCAAUGUGGUUAUUUUUGUUCUUUUGAUUUGUUAAGGUGUGUGUGGGAAAGCCAGAGCCCAAGAACUGGAGUGCUGAUGCAUUUUUUGUUUUAAACAGAAUAAAUCUGCCCUACUGCUGCAAUAUACCCUGGUGUCCUCGUCUGCUGGUUCCCUUUGCCUAUACACACAACGCAGAGUACAUGUACAACAGAUGAGUCGGAUAAGUGCGGCUACAUAAGGAAGAACAGAAGUGGAAAACAAGGCAAAAAUAGAAAAAAACUAAGGAAAUGACAAAAAUCCAAAACCAAACCUCAAACAACCCCCGAUCCUGACACUUUGCGCAGUAAGACUCUUAAUUUCAAUAAAGGAUCGGUUUAUAGAUAAAUGGAGGAAUCUAACAUUUGUGUACUUCAGAUCAAACUAUGUUUAGAACCUGGUGACCUACUCAUUUUUAUGUUAAACCACUAGAAUUGUUAUAGAGUGUACUUUGUUAGAAUAAUUAUGUUUUGUUAUCAUUCUUACAUAAGUAGUUACCAGUUUGUUUUUCAUUUAAAGGUUUAGUAUUCACACCCCAGAGAGGAGGAAUUUGUUAAACCGUGUGAAAGACAAAACUUGUCUUUUCCCUAAACCUUGAAGCUGCAGCUGCUUCUUAUCUUGGGAUACUCCUUAAACUGCUUGUGUGUAGAAUGUAGUUCUUCCUUGUUUCAGAAUAGCCAUUGUUUGAUUUAUCACUCCCACAUUUCACUCUUGACUCCAUUCUUUCUCCUGCUUAAUAAAAAGACAGGCUCUGUUGCAGGGAGUCAGAAUGCAUGGUAAACACCUUGGAGAAGUGGUUUGCUAUGUUUUCUCCUUCUGCAGAAGCUUGGUUGAAAACUCA